AGGACAGAGGAACAGUUAAAGAACUGCAUCGGACAAUACCAUAAAAAAUCACUGAGUGCAUACAUCUGGAAAACACUGAGUACACCACGUCUAGACUGUUUGGAUAGUUGUGUAUAAUUACAUAGUGUAUGAAGGCAAGAGAAAACAAAAAGCAUGCAAACAUAUGGUAUUAUAUCCAUAUGUGUCAAACAGCUUAAAUCAGAUAUAAACAUCUGCCUGCAGUAAAAUCUACUGACAGCAGUGGAUAGCUGAUUAUUUAUUAUCUUAUUAUCGAUCAUAAAGUUGACUAAGUGGCCUACUACAGAGCUGUUUAUAGAACAAGAGUUUACUGUUUAUAGUUUAUAGUCUGUAAAACAGGACAUGAUGUUUGCCCUAGCAACUGUUUUAAAACCACAGAAUAAAGCCUCUGCAUGGAGAACCACGGCAACCACAUAGCAACCACCUGGAAACACCUUAGCAACCACUCAAAGAUCAAACAACCACCUCGGCAACAUCUGAAGGUGUUCACGCUGGACGCUCACUGAUUGGACAGUUUUGGUGAUGUCAUCCUGCAUCAUCAGAGCCACAUGAGGAAGUGAGUUUCUGGAGACUACACUUUACUGAACCUGAUGUUUUGAUUUAUGUUCUCUGGUGUCACAAAGAGCCAGUCCGGUUUGGAACAAGAGUCUUGUGCUGAUUAUACAUUAUACAUAAUGUUGAUUUGGACCCAUGCUGUUGUAACAAUGAACCUACUGCAGCUACACAACAACAUUGAUUUGUUUAUUUCUCAUCAAACUCUUUUGUUCAGGCCAGAGAGAGAGAGAGAGAGAGCUGAGGUCCAGCUGGGGAAUAAUGGCUCCUCACUGAAUGAGCUCAGUAACACACAGUUGGACUUCAUUAACCCUCACAACUCUCCAGUUGUCUGCAGGUCAGAGGCACACAAACAGUAACACACACAGCUAAUGUACAACACACACAUUUAGUUUCAUAUACAAUGACUGUAAGCCAUAUAAUCAGCUCUCUGCUUUGUCAGGCUCAGUAAACAAUGGAUGUUUUGUAUCAGUGGCUUCACAAUAAUGUGCGUGCCAAUAAAGCCGUGAUGGAAAGUUGCUGUCGAGGCUUCGGGGUAUUAGCCGUCGUCAGCCCUCCUCGUCUUUAUAACUCCACCGCACAGCCACCUGGAGGGUCAGAAAACUACGAGAAGACAGCUGUGUCCCCUCUAUCUACUUACGUAUGUGGCUAGGAGAAACUGCACGGUGCUUUAAACAAUACAUAUGUUGUAAAUGCUGCAUACGUCCUUCACAUGGAUACACCCUACACACGGGAAUUUCCAGUUCUUAUUCACCCAGCCUUCAAAUGAACAUAAAAAGAGGAGUGAAAAGAAUUCAAUAAAUAAAAUCAUCUUUUCCAUGUUU